UUUCAAAUACUUCUAGACAAGAUUGCGACUAAGCUCGCUGGGUGGAAGGGCAAGCUUAUGACCAAGGCCGGAAGAUUGGCUCUCAUCAAUUCUAUGCUCACCUCCGUCACGACCUACUAUUUGACUCUCUUCGCUCCAACCAAGUGGAUAAUCAAGCGAAUUGACAAGCUCAGAUGCAGUUUCUUGUGGAAAGGUGAGGAGGAAGCCUUAGGAGGGCACUGUGCAGUCAAUUGGUAAAAAGUCUGCUUACCAAAAAAGUUUGGCGGCUUAGGCAUCAAGAGCCUACCUCUCUUCAGCAGGGCCCUCAGACUAAGGUGGGCUUGGCUCGAAUGGAAACACCCAGCUAGGCCAUGGUCCGGAAUGCCCAUCCCAUAUAUGCUCCAAGAUUGGUUAUGA
rnacentral:rRNA from 1 species